UUUCGCAAUGCCCGAAAGGGUGACGAAGCGACGCCGCGUGCGGGAAGAAGGCCUUCGGGUUGUAAACCACUGUCGGGAGUUAGGAAAUGCAGGUGCGUUAAUAGCGCACUUGCUUGACUAAGGCUCCAGAGGAAGCCACGGCUAACUCUGUGCCAGCAGCCGCGGUAAUACAGAGGCGGCAAGCGUUGUUCGGAAUUAUUGGGCGUAAAGAGCACGUAGGCGGCCUUGCAAGUCAGUUGUGAAAGCCUUCCGCUUAACGGAAGAACGGCAUCUGAUACUACAGGGCUUGAGUACGGGAGGGGAGAGUGGAACUUCUGGUGGAGCGGUGAAAUGCGUAGAUAUCAGAAGGAACGCCGGCGGCGAAGGCGACUCUCUGGUCCGAAACUGACGCUGAGUGUGCGAAAGCUAGGGGAGCAAACGGGAUUAGAUACCCCGGUAGUCCUAGCCGUAAACGAUGGGCACUAAGUAGAGGGGUUUU
rnacentral:rRNA from 1 species